rnacentral:tRNA from 1 species
UUUUCAACAGUUUUUGUGAAUAUUAAAUUGCAGCUUUAAUGGAAGGGGUGCCCCCUUUGAAAUU